AGAAGAAAAAAGUUAAUUAUUUUCUUACACAUGUCAACAUCUGAUCGAUAGAUUUGACACGUGACAUAAUCUUAUGAGUUAGUAACUUUGAAAACCAUACUUUAUAUAAUAAGAUUU
rnacentral:sRNA from 1 species